rnacentral:rRNA from 1 species
UACGUAGGGGGGCUAGCGUUGUCCGGAAUCAUUGGGCGUAAAGCGCGUGUAGGCGGUCCGGUAAGUCCGCUGUGAAAGUCGGGGGGCUCAACCCUCGGAUGCCGGUGGAUACUGUCGGGCUCGAGUACGGAAGAGGCGAGUGGAAUUCCUGGUGUAGCGGUGAAAUGCGCAGAUAUCAGGAGGAACACCAAUUGCGAAGGCAGCUCGCUGGGACGUUACUGACGCUGAGACGCGAAAGCGUGGGGGAGCAAACAGG